GUCCUAAUGUUUGCUUACCCAGCAGUUUUCCUUGCAUUAGGGUGGCACCUAAAUCAUGGAUGCAGCUGUCGCCGUGGUCCUGCUUCGCGCCCUGCUAUACC